rnacentral:lncRNA from 1 species
CCGCUCGGAUACAGAUUUGUUUCACUUAGGCCUCGCCUGUCAUAGGGCCUCGCCCACUAACAUAUAAUAGCACAUAAACAUAUCACAUCACAUCACAUAAGCUAAACACAUACUAACGAAUCUUGUCCUAAGGCCUCGCCUAUCUCUGGGCCCCGCCCUUGUCCUGCUACUGAUGAGUCAUGGAACCCCGUCCAUACUCCUGCUGAUAGUGAGGUACGGGCCCAGCCCACCCUCACUCCUUCCCUAACUUGGGCCUCGCCCCUGAUCUGCUGCUACUGAGAUGUGGAACACCAUCCACACUCUGCUAUUGGUGAGAUACGGGACCUCGCCCACACUCACCUCCCUACCAGGCACAUACAAGUAUCACACAGACAACAAGUAUAAACUAUCACAUAAACCAUUCCUUGGGCACCCGCCCUCUAUCAUUGGACCUCAUCCCGAAUAUCAUACUAGCAUACUGUGCCUAGGGCUAACCCCCGGGUCUUCUACUCAUAACUACAUGGGCCGGCAUUGUGGCCGUAGACCCAUUCAUACAAAGGGAAACUCACCUGCACUGGCUGAACUGGCUGAUGAACCCACUAGCUGCUGCCCGACAACUCUCUGAACUCCUGCUCCACUCGCUCCCCGAGCUACCAAUAUCAAUGCAACACUGAGUCUAACUGACCCCCGAAAGACAACCAAGUCAACUCUGGUCAAAGUCAAAGUCCUGGUCAAAGUCAACCUUCCAGGUCAACCCUACUCGCCGAGUCACCCUAUUGACUCGCCGAGUUCAUAUGUUCAGAGUCCUUCUAUUCGCGACUCGACUCGCCGAGUCAGUCCAUGACUUGCCGAGUCUACCGAUUACCGAGUCCUGACCUGUCCAACUCACCGAGUCUCCAUUCGACUCACUGAUUCGAGUCUCAACUCGAAGGGUUUGGGGUUUCGCGGCCUGACUCGCCGAGUCCAAGAACAUACUCGCUGAGUCCAAGACAACCUUCAAUAGACUCGCCGAGUUGUUCAUCCAACUCGCCAAGUUCCUGCCCAACUUCAUCUGACUCGACGAGUUGUUCAUCCCACUCGUCGAGUUCCUCCUCAUCUUCAUGCUACUCGCCAAGUCCACUCAAAGGACUCACCGAGUCCAUUCAAACCUCCAUACAUGCAGAGGACUUUUGAGUCAUGCAUGGACUCCAAACUGUAGAUCUACCCUUCCCAAGCCUAUUCCUCACGUAAAGUUGCAAACUUUACGUAUAGAGAAGGAGAUCUAGGCAAAAUACACCACAAACUAGGGUUUAAGGCAAGGAGGGUCCAUAAUCAACUCAAGGGCUGCUACUUUAUGCUUCUCAAGACCAUAAUAUGCUUAGAUCUGAAGUAGCAACUUCAGAUCUGGCUUCUAACUCGAAAUAAUAACAUUAUGGCUAAAAAACCCCCCAACAACCACACAUAGAUCUAGGUGCAAAAAGGGUCCAGGAACUAGUUUAUUACCUCCAAAUGCUUAGAAUGAACUCACAAUCCCAAAUCUAUAGUCCCUUCUUGCUCCUCCAAGUUCCUUCUUCCUUCUCCAAGCUUUAAUGCACCUUCCAAGGCAACAAAUGGCUCAAAUAGAGGAUAUGGCGACUAGGGUUUAAUGUUCUGGGUGAAAGAGGCAGUAAAGGAACCCUAGGGGAGAGAAUGAGGCGCUUAAAUAGGCUCCAAGUCCCGAAUUUAGGUUUUUCCUCGCACAGACCAGACUCAUCGAGUCCACUUGGCCGACUCGCUGAGUUGGUCAUUUACUCCUCGACCCGGAUCCCGCUCGGACUCGCGGAGUUCCUCCUUUGACUCGCCGAGUCGCCCCUAAAAAUUGGGGUUUUAUUUCCUUUCAUGGCCUACCAGAUUUUGGGUGUUACAACUCUCCCCCACUUAAACUAAACUUCGUCCUCGAAGUUUGCUAUGGCCCACCGCCUUCGUUCUGCCUCCAAUACCCCAUCAAUUAUUCCAACACCAGCUGCCUACCUUCGUUGGUCUUCCGCCCGGUCAUUCUGACUAGCAUCAAUCCUUGCAGAUAAUUAUCUCGGGUCAGCCCUAACCCUGAACAUUCAGGAAACACAACUUACUCAACCGACAAUCCUUCUGGUACUCUCCGAGUACUGCAACUGAACCUAUAGGGGUUCACCCCUUCUUUCCUCACGCAAUUCCCUUGCCUUCCCAAGGCGAUGCUCCAAAAACAACUAUCUCCUCUGACACAGUGAAGAUCCUAUCUUCACCAAUCCAUUAUUCCCGCUAAAACCAGUACGGGUCGUCACCGCCAGUCACCACUAACACUCCUCUCUUGUCAUAACUUGGUGUCGAGCACCCCUCGACUCGACUAACUGAAUUCCACCAUAAAUUGCUUACCCGUGCUACUACUGACCGGAAAUUCCUGCCAUUCCUCAUCUGCCUUCCGGAUGAACUGAGACCACUCUGGUCCUUACCAACCUAUCAAUAUCUGGAUCACCGGCUCCCACCGGUAGCUAGCCCCAACACCACCACUAGUCGCUCCCAGCGACUUCCGAAGAAACUUCGACCACCUAUAACUGCUCAAUCUAUUCUGCCAUUCAGGCACUACAAACCUGGGAUCCCCGAUCCCCUAACUUGACACUAAGGUCCCUACCAGGUCCCACCUGUGCUGCUAAAACUCACGGGCCUCGCCCACGGGUCCCACCCGCCUCUAUCCUUCUAGUCCCACUAGUCUAAUCACUCUCGCUCGGGCCUCGCCCACGGGUCUCACCCAACCAUACUACUGAGCAACCCUGCUCCCAGGUCUCAUCUACACUGCUAAUCUCAUACGGGCCUCGCCCACGGGUCUCACCCAACUAUAUCCUGGAGCGGCCUCUCCCAAGGUCUCACCUCUCUAGGGCUAUACAGGCAGACUCCCUAUCAUCCUCGUUCACUACCCAUUCCUGAUCCCUAUCUGAUCACUAGGAGGUAAGGGCCUCGCCCCAACUCCGCUAACGAAGCUACUAAGGAAUGCUACGACUUACCCGUAGUCCUUCAUCACCAUCCAUUGCUGACUGCUAGUGAAUGCUAUGGCUGCCCCGUAGUCUUACAACAAUUCCACCACUAACUGCUAAUACAAAGGCACCCAUGUGCCAUUAGCUCUUAAGAUCCUCAUUUCGACUCCCUCGAGUCCUACGGGCGAUUCACAACCUGAAUUCCCAACCAUGUACUAACCAUUACCAUCACACGCACUAGCUGAUGGGGAGUUUCUCAAACUCCCAACCCUGAAGUCCUCAAUCCAUCAAACGUUGAACCACUUCUUUUCCUUCUCGGAGGUCGCGCACUCAUUCUGGGUCUGCGUGCUCCUACCUUUGCACACUCGGAGGAUUCUCCCCCACUUCGAUCCUGCUUACCCCUUGUUACUCAAUACUCAAAAAGAAAUCCCAAUCCUUGCUACCAUUCCAUAAUCAAUCUGUUGAGGAACCCAAGCUUACCAUAGCUAGGGAUCUAACCAAUCCAUCUCUAACACUAUACAACUCCGAUCUAGCGAGACAUACCAAGUCCUUCCCAGACAUGCUAUAGUUACUGCAUCCUAGGCAACCUUCUCCAAUAGAACCCAUCCCUUAACUACCAAUCCAAUAUCCAAGGUAUGCAGACGGCAUAUAACUCGAUCACAAUCAAUUGCUCAGAGAUAAAAUACUCAUACCGAUAAUGAUGCAGAACCAUAACAAUGAAAUCAUGCACAAAAUAAAAGAACUGAGAAUGGAAAUUGCAUACCUGCAACGUCCGGCGAUGCUCGCGUCUCCAAGGUCGUCAUCUGAAAAGCCCUGCUCCCUGCUGCAGGUGCCUCUACCCGGCCCUGACGGCCAUCCGUGAUCCUCAAGGUUGCAGGGGCGGGUGCCAUCACCCGUCCUGCUGAAGACAAACUGGGGCACUGGGCCUUCUUGUGGCCCCGCUGGUUGCAAUGAAAACAUAUCAUGUCUGAUCCCUGCGCGGCGGUAACAGUACAAUCCCUGCUAAAAUGACCAGUCCGACCGCACUUGAAGCAGCCAGACUCACCACCGCUACCACUCCUGCACGCGCCCCCGUGCGCCCUGCCACACUUUCCGCAUCGACUGCGGUCCUGACGAUCCCUCGAUCUCGAAUCCGAUCCCUUGGGCCUUUUGCCCGAACCCGCUGAUACCUGAACCUCAUCCGGCUUCCUCUUCCGGAUCUGCUCCAAAUCAAUUUCCCUUUCUCUAGCCCGAGAAAUCAUAUCUUCCAGCGUCUUACAGCUGGACCUGCUCACGAACUCCCUGAUGUCGUCCCUCAACAUCUCAUGGUACCGAGCCUUCUUCAUCUCCUCAUCCGCUACAUACUGCGGUACAAGAAGAGCCCUCUCCCUGAACUUGGCGGUGAUCUCCGCCACAGUCUCAGUGGUCUGCGUCAAAUCCUGAAACUCCCUGGCCAACUGUUGCACCUCAAUAAUCGGCGAAAACUCUGCCCUGAACUUGGCUGAGAAAUCGCUCCAAGUCAUCGCGUCCAAUGCGGCAUCAUCACCCAAAGCAUGACCAACCUCUUCCCACCAAUCCCUCGCUCUGUCCUUCAGAAGACAGGAAGCGAGUCUAACCUUGUCCCCCUCGGGACACCGGCUCGUACGGAAUGCGUUGGCAACAUCAGCCAACCAUCUGCUGCUAGCGAUAGGGUCCCUAGCCCCAUGAUAAUAUGGUGCUCCGCAAGCCCUGAACUCUCGAAAUGUCAAGGUACAUGCUCCCAUCAAUGCCAUCAUCUCAGUACGGAAGGCUUCCAUCCUCUCAUCCAAAAUCUCCAAUAUACCCUCCUUGACUGUGCCAAAGAUCAUAGGAGUCUUAUCCAGAAUAUUGCGCGUAACCUCGGCAGAUAUCAACUCCCUCAUUCGCUCCUCAAGCUGCUCGGCCCCUGAACCCGUGCCUGAUCCCUCUCCGACGCCUGAUCCGCCUGCUGGUCUCUCUCACAAUGUCACCAUGCUGAAAAUAUACCACAACCACUAUCAGAAUACUCAUCACUGAUGCGAGACCAAACACACCCUACCAGGUUCCCGUUCUUGUCUCGGCCUUUCCUGAAUCGAGUACGGAUCCUCUACUUUCAGUAGUACGGGCCCAUACUACCUUCCACAUCUAUCUGUACUUUCCUCCGGAAUUGCUUUGACUCCACCAGGUCCCUUAUCCACUACUACUGCUCCCAGCACUAUCUGAUCCUAGGCUUACCCUAGGAAAACCUCUGACUCAACUCAAACCAGUCCUCAGCUGCUGAAGGUCUCCUUGUGAUGCCAAUUAGCCAUCACCUGGAUACCAUCACAUGUGACAAGGCUCAGAUAAUCCUUCAAGUAAAAGACUCGUCCCUACAACGGUUUGACUCAAACAAGAGCUGCGCAAUAGGACCAAAUCCAGAACUCUGACAUUAUUCAACCCUGAUCACAUGUGACGUGGCGAAUCCACUUAAUAGCUAACUCCCAUCACUCGAAAUCCCACAAUGCACAAAGCAAGCAGCAUUCGAACAAAGGGAAAAUCUAACCAUAACAUACUCAAUCAAUCAAAUCCACAUAGCAAGAAACUGAACUAGCAUGCAACACAAACUCAUAAACUCAUGCAUAACCUAGACAGGCUAUCCUACCACUGUCUAAUCAGCACUAUCAUGCAGCUCAAAACACAUAUAAUAGGCACAUAAGGCAUCAUCCCUAGAUCCUUAGUCCUAAUCUAGCAUGCUGUUCUAUCAACUGAUAAUCAAAUCAUAAACUUGCAUGGGUAUUUUGGGCUACUUACUUGAGCUCGGCUGAUUGCAUGCACCACACCUCUUUUCUCUUUUCAAAGUCCUUUUCUUCCUGAAUUACUUUUGCUUUUCUAAAACUGUUUUCUUUCCCAAACCUCUUUUACAAACUGCCUUUUCAUUUUGAAAACUUCUAUACCAAUUGCUUGGUUUGAGUUCAGACACACCCAAGAGCAUGUCCGAAUCCCUUAAACCAAGGCUCUGAUACCAACUUGUAACGUCCCAAAAUUCAAGACCAAAAAUUUCUUUUAAUAAAACAUUACUUUAAGCGAAAUCAUCAUUUCAAAACAUAAAUAGAGUAUUAGUUUCCAAAAUACAUGUUCGUUAUCAGAGUAAACAUUCCCAGGCUGUCUAAACUAUGGUGUGUGCCAUGCGAUCACCCCGAGCUCUUCCCUCCGCUACCGGAAGUACCUGAAACCAAAACUGAAAACCGUAAGCACGAAGCUUAGUGAGUUCCCCACCCUACCACAUACCAUGCAUAACCACAUACUGCACACGCUGGGCCACGCCCGCUAUUCUGGGCCUCCCCCCCUACCUCGGGCCUCGCCCGCUACAACGGCCCCGCCGCUCCAGGCCCCGCCUGGCUUCGAGCCCCGCUCGGAUACAGAUCUGUUUCACUUAGGCCUCGCCUGUCACAGGGCCUCGCCCACUAACAUAUAAUAGCACAUAAACAUAUCACAUCACAUCACAUAAGCUAAACACAUACUAACGAAUCUUGUCCUAAGGCCUCGCCUAUCUCUGGGCCCCGCCCUUGUCCUGCUACUGAUGAGUCAUGGGACCCCGUCCAUAAUCCUGCUGGUAGUGAGGUACGGGCCCAUCCCCCCUCACUCCUUCCCUAACUUGGGCCUCGCCCAUGAUUUGCUGCUAUUGAGAUGUGGAACACCAUCCACACUCUACUAUUGAUGAGAUAUGGGACCUCGCCCACACUCACCUCCCUACCAGGCACAUACAAGUAUCACACAGACAACAAGUAUAAACUAUCACAUAAACCAUUCCUUGGGCACCCGCCCUCUAUCAUUGGACCUCGUCCCG